UUACGGUCAUAUCACGUGGAACCAUCGGUUCCCAUACGAUAACCGAAUUUAAGAAAUGUCGAGCCUGGUCAGUACAGAGAUGUGUGAAUGCUUGGGAAUAACAAGGGGUGUAA